GAUGAACGCUGGCGGCGUGCCUAAUACAUGCAAGUCGAGCGAACGGACGAGAAGCUUGCUUCUCCGAUGUUAGCGGCGGACGGGUGAGUAACACGUGGAUAACCUACCUAUAAGACUGGGAUAACUUCGGGAAACCGGAGCUAAUACCGGAUGAUAUUUUGAACCGCAUGGUUCAAAAGUGAAAGACGGUCUUGCUGUCACUUAUAGAUGGAUCCGCGCUGCAUUAGCUAGUUGGUAAGGUAACGGCUUACCAAGGCAACGAUGCAUAGCCGACCUGAGGGGGUGAUCGGCCACACUGGAACUGAGACACGGUCCAGACUCCUACGGGAGGCAGCAGUAGGGAAUCUUCCGCAAUGGGCGAAAGCCUGACGGAGCAACGCCGCGUGAGUGAUGAAGGUCUUCGGAUCGUAAAACUCUGUUAUUAGGGAAGAACAUAUGUGUAAGUAACUGUGCACAUCUUGACGGUACCUAAUCAGAAAGCCACGGCUAACUACGUG
rnacentral:rRNA from 1 species